CAAUCUGUUCUUGUAUUUCCUAAUCUUGGUUGUUCACUUGCUUUCAUUCACAGGGUAAAGAGGUCAACCUCUUCCAAUACACAAUUGCUGAGGUGUUCAAAAAUCUUAGUGAGAGAGGACAUUGACUGUGCGAGAAUGGAACACAACAAGUUUUGUGUGUGUGUGUGUGUGCAUUACCGAAACGUCGCACGACAUGGUGAAAGUUAUGGAAUUUUUGCUGUAACCGCCCGGAUGAAGAUGACAGGGCU